rnacentral:tRNA from 1 species
GCUUGGCUAGCUCAGUCAGGAAAGCAUGGGACUCUUAAUUCCAGGGUCGUGGGUUCGUGCCCUACAUUGGGUA